rnacentral:rRNA from 1 species
GGCCACCAGGUCGAGUUGUAAUUUGUAGAUUGUACGUUGAGAGCGGAUUAAAGUCUGUUGGAACACAGCGCCUUAGAGGGUGACAGCCCCGUAAAAUCUAUUCUCAUUGUAAGGUACUUUCGAAGAGUCGAGUUGUUUGGGAAUGCAGCUCUAAGUGGGAGGUAAAUUCCUUCUAAAGCUAAAUAUUGACGAGAGACCGAUAGCGAACAAGUACUGUGAAGGAAAGAUGAAAAGCACUUUGAAAAGAGAGUGAAAAAGUACGUGAAAUUGUUAAAAGGGAAGGGUAUUGAAUCAGACGUGGUGCUGUUGUUCAACUUUGUUUCGGCAUGGUGUACUCAGCAGUACUAGGCCAAGGUGGGGUGUUUGGGAGUGAAAAAGGAAUAGGAACGUAGCUCUUCGGAGUGUUAUAGCCUGUUUUCAUAGCUCCUCAGGCGCCUCAGGACUGCGCUUCGGCAAGGACUUUGGCAUAAUGAUUCUAUACCG